rnacentral:lncRNA from 1 species
GAUUCUUUUUUGGAAUCCCCAUUUUCCACCUUUGAGUCAGGUGUUAAUGUAGAUUCAAGUGGCAGUGUAUCUUACAGCCUCUGGCGGUGCUUCUGAUCCUGGUCACUCUACUUCCCACUUUCUAAAUUACCUUUGUUGGCGAUUCUGUCUUUUUCGUCUUUCUCACCCCUCCGGGACCUCUUGGGACUGGGUUCUCUGUCAAAC